rnacentral:lncRNA from 1 species
GACCACAGGCACAUGCCACCAUGCCUGGCUGAUUUUUUGUUUAUUUGUUCAUUUACUUUUUGUAGAGACAAGGUCACUUGAUGGUGCCCAGGCUGUGGAGGAUAGUUUUGAUAGUUCAGUAAAAUGACCAAAGCAAAAUUGAAGUGCCAGAAGAGAAAUAAGACCUUUGAAUUAUCCAUAGAUAGAAGAGCUUUAACUUUGCAGGGACAUGGAUGAAGCUGGAAACCAUCAUUCUCAGCAAACUAUCACAAGGACAGAAAACCAAACACCACAUGUUCUCACCCAUGCUCUAACUUGAGCUUUAUACCUUUAUUACCCCACUGCAUAUGCCAUGUAUAGUGGCUAGCUGGUAUCCCACCCUCAUGUGAGAAGGGCUAAAUGAAGAGAUGCUGAGCCCCUUCAAAGUGAGUGCUCUACUCUGUUGCAUUGCCCAAAGAUUAGAUUUCUUGACAUUUACCUUAAAACCCUGAACAGUUUGUGCUCGAGAGCUCUGCUAUUUGCUAAACUACUUUAGCAAACAGCAUGCUGUGAAGCAAGACCCCACCAGAGCCCUUUCUGCAAUAUCUUUUAAUUUUGGUUUUCCUAUAUGCCCACGUGUGGUUUUAUAUUAUAGACCAAUGGAAAAAAAAUAAUUUGAUGUGAGUAAUGUUGCUUUUUCCUCCAAUUUUUCACUGCUUUAAAAAAUAAUUGAGGAGAGCCUUUAAUACCUCUUUGAAAAUAAUUAUGAAGGUUUUUUACUAUUUGGAAGAUCAUAGAAUCCACCAUAUAGUAAUUUUUAAAUAUUUUAAAUUGGAUGUUUAACUUUAAAUUAGAAAAAACAACAUUAUUGAAAGCUUUUCUUUAAUAGAAAAAUUGCUUUGAUUUUUAUUUCAUAAUUGAUUUAAAAUAUUAGUUACAUGAAUUAUUAUUUACAACUUGCAUAGUAAUUUUCAUACAUCUCCAUAAUAAAAAUUCACUCUGUAAUCUCUUCUAUAAAAAGAAGUAAACAGCACCUGCCAGAGCACUGUAGCAACGAGAGCCAUCAAGUGUGUAUUCACUUCGUUAUUCAAAACAGCAGUGAAAGAGUUAAUAAAAGCUGAAUACAUUACAGGAUUACAAAGAUUUUUAUUUAUUAGGGGAUAGGGAGGGUAUGGUAUAUAUGGGAUGAAACAUUAAUAACCUCUCUAUUCUGCAAGACUGACCUAUUGCUUUGGAACUACUCUUUUAGCCCCACAGAGACUGUGAAACAGUGUUUUGGUGGUCUAUAGGAAAGGUUCAACUUGGCAAAUGUAGUGGUAAGUGAUGUCACUGAAUGCAUACCAUAUGUAUUGAGAGUCAGUGAAUGCUAUUCUCUCUGCUGCGCACAGGCAUGUGUAAGUGUUGGAAUGGAAAAAUCAUUUUUAUGAAAAUAUAGAGAAGUAAAACAAGAAUGUUCUGUCCUGAGCCUGAUCAGAUCACCAGUAGCUGCCAAGAGUGAACACUCCGUGUAAGGUUUUCUCUUCUUAAUUCUCCAGCUUCCGGCCUUUUGUUGGCUCUCAAAAGUAGUCUAUUCAGAAGGCCUUAUUCAGCAUGUUCUUUCUUGAUAUGAUAUGAACACCAAAUGAAAGUUCCAUUUUCUCCAUUAAAGUAAAGCUGGGAGAAUAUUUUAGUGUGCAUGGUUUGCAGCAGAUGGAAAUGAUUAAUUGAUUUAGCUAACUUGCCAAAUUGUUCUCUUUCCCAGUAGAGUUGGGUUUUAUCAGAGAGACUCGUACUGCUAAUCAUUGUAACACUUACUAAUAUAUCAGAAAGAAUAUAAUUGUUGUGUUUUAAUUAUUCUCAUUACUAUUAUUUAAGACAUGCUCUAAUGCUACACUAAUAGAUAUGGCAAAUAAAUAAGGCAAUUGAUUCCUGUUAGAAAUUUAUGACAUAUAAGAUAGAGUAGAAGAAUACAUGGAGAUAUAAAAAGGUGAAGUAGCCAGUUAUUUUACUCUUAAAUUUUUAUUAGCAAAUCAGUGUCCUUACUAAAAAUCAAAUGGUAUUUUCUUAAGCUUGAAUAGAUGCUAUCUUAAAUCUUAAUCUCUUUUGUAUUUUGUACAAAGACUGCCUGUUAUAACAGUAUGAUUUUAAGUAAUUUUUUAAAAAUAAAAGCAAUAUUUGCCCUUCAUAAUAGGACAUUAGAAAUACAAAUAUAAAUAAUAAAC